rnacentral:lncRNA from 1 species
UAGAAGCAGCAGAGCUAAGAUUCCAAUCUGGGUCCUCUAACGCCAACCCAUCAUCUGUCUGCUAAACAAAAGAACAUUACAGCUUCAUGCCAGGCUAAGAGGGCCUUCAGAGGAAGGGGAGAUCAGUUGGUUUGAAGAGGAGGCUGCUUGGAGGAAGAAGGGAACUAGGACUAAGCCUUGAAUGAAGCUGAACAGACAAGAACAAAGGAGAUUUCAACAGGAGGCAGAAGAAAGAAAGCUAAUGUCAGGGAAGGGCCACAUCUGAUUGUAAAGGCAAAAACUUGGGUCUUUCCUUGGCCCCUAGAGGAAAUUUGGAGGGGUCACGCUGCCAUCAAUAAUCCUCAGCUAUUUGCAGGUCUGAGUCAAAUUGCCCAAUGGUUAGAACAUUCAUUCAAUAAACAAUGAGAACCUACUGUUUUAGAGACUGUGAUACAAGUGAUCAGGGAGAAAUAAGAGCAUAUUGAUGAUAAUAAUAAUAACAUCCACUUUUGAGUGCUUAAGAUUUGGAUUAUACUUUCACCAGGUAGAUAGUUUAUUAUCAUC